CCUACGGGUGGCAGCAGUGGGGAAUAUUGGACAAUGGGGGCAACCCUGAUCCAGCCAUGCCGCGUGUGUGAAGAAGGCCCUCGGGUUGUAAAGCACUUUCAGUGAGGAAGAACGCCUGGUGGUUAAUACCCAUCAGGAAAGACAUCACUCACAGAAGAAGCACCGGCUAACUCCGUGCCAGUAGCCGCGGUAAUACGGAGGGUGCGAGCGUUAAUCGGAAUUACUGGGCGUAAAGCGCGCGUAGGUGGCUUGAUAAGCCGGUUGUGAAAGCCCCGGGCUCAACCUGGGAACGGCAUCCGGAACUGUCAAGCUAGAGUGCAGGAGAGGAAGGUAGAAUUCCCGGUGUAGCGGUGAAAUGCGUAGAGAUCGGGAGGAAUACCAGUGGCGAAGGCGGCCUUCUGGACUGACACUGACACUGAGGUGCGAAAGCGUGGGUAGCAAACAGGAUUAGAUACCCCAGUAGUC
rnacentral:rRNA from 1 species